UACGGAGGAUGCGAGCGUUAUCCGGAUUUAUUGGGUUUAAAGGGUGCGCAGGCGGUCUGUUAAGUCAGCGGUCAAAGCCCGGGGCUCAACCCCGGCCCGCCGUUGAAACUGGCAGUCUCGAGUUGGAGAGAAGUAUGCGGAAUGCGCGGUGUAGCGGUGAAAUGCAUAGAUAUCGCGCAGAACUCCGAUUGCGAAGGCAGCAUGCCGGCUCCACACUGACGCUGAGGCACGAAAGCGUGGGUAGUCGAACAGG
rnacentral:rRNA from 1 species